AGAGCAUGGCCUCCACCUCUCCUCCCCACCGCCAUCUCCACGUUCUCGCACCGGCGCUGGGGUGCAGGCUUUCAGUGGUCUCAGGGCUACGGCUUGUCGGUGCCUCGCCGCACAGUCCCCUUUGCAUUGAAGGACACGGUCUUACGGUGUAGGAGCAUUUUUGAGGUGCAUUCCUGGAUUUGGAGGCGAACCCCCAAUGGUUACCUCCACAGAGGCUUUGCGAAGGGCGCUCACUGACUUAGGUGAAGAGCGAAGGCUCAAGACUGUGCCGCUUUAUAGUGGCCCCUUGACGUCCAGAAGUUCCCCCCAGCGCCGGUCAUAAGCACUCCCGCCGCCUGGGCCCCGCCCUGCCUGCCAGGCGCCCUCCAGCCUCAGCUCCCGGACGCCCGGCGUGGCCGCUUUCUCGCGUCUUGCUGACCCGGGCCGGGGGCGUGUGCUCCUCCUGCAGCGGACGGAAGAUGCUGGGCCACGCAAGUUUCCCUGGGCUUGGUUAACCACCCCAAAGCCCAUUUCCAGAAGGAAAGGGUGUUGAGGAGGAGGGAUAGAAAGUCGAGAAGAGGGCCGGAGAUGAGAUCUUGCUCUGUCACCCAGACUGGAGUGCAGUGGCACGAUCAUAGCUCACUGCACCCUCAAACUCCUGGACUCAAAUCAUCCUCUACCUCUGCCUCCAUGAGUAACUGGAACUACAGACAAACUCCAACAUUGUCUAUUGGGAAUAAAUAACACUCAGUGAAGAAAACUGGAAGAAGAGGAGAGAGGAAAGGCAAGGCCAUCCAUAUAAUGAAGAGAAUGUUGUCUAGAAAUGAAAAUGACUAAGAGAAGGAA
rnacentral:lncRNA from 1 species